rnacentral:misc_RNA from 1 species
AACGCAAAUUGCGCCCGAGGCUUCGGCCGAGGGCAUGUCUGCCUCAGCGUCGGCCCACACCCUCGCCUUCCCAUCCCUUUGGGAGAGCGGACCUGGCCGUUCCCGGCUCCCCGUUCGCCUUUGUGCGUCCGGGUCCGGGUCGGCUGAAGCUUAGAGGCUCGAGCGAGGACCCCGUUUGUAGGGCAAUGGCUUGGUAGGUAGGCACCCCCUACGCAGCCUGCCGUUGUCCGAGGGGACCUGUGCUGGCGGCCCCGCAGGAAUUCGGUGGUUGUGCUGUUUUUGCAGCCCCCCGAACGACUCACACCUUCGACCUGAGCUCAGGCAAGAUUACCCGCUGAACUUAA